AGCUAACGUGCAGGACUACUUGUUCUCAAAGCUUCCACCGUGUACGCUGCGCGUGCUCGUCGGUGUUAUACAAACUGUAAACAAUGCGAUCUUCGACCACACCAGUCUAGCGCCGGCCAUGAGGAGGGGAACGCUGCAGAACGUCAUCCGCCAGCUUCCAAGCUAACUGGCUGCCUCCAUCUUGUCAUCGACACGUAAAUAAUACCGGUAGCAGGCUAACAUUAGGCCCGGGGAACAUGCCGCUGCAUCAAAGUGUCAAAGUCAUGGUGCAAGGACGUACAGAGCUGUACAUACCGAUCACUGAAGAAAUCAAUGGCUGAUGGGAAGUCUUUUCGACGUGGAGCUGUGACGCUGUGCAGCAUCUGAGGGAGAAGCCAAUCAUGCCUUCUCUCUCAAUCUGUGAGGUCUCUUGUGUCAAGUGUGUUGUCUUCAAAGGAAGUCAUUUAGCUAUAUUUAAACACAAUUUCAGCCAAACUGGAUGUUAGUUUUAUUAUUAUUAUUUUAUAGCUGUAUGCCAUAUUUAAUGUCAUUCAGGGAACAAGGUGUCAAUCCCAACUGUCACCUGGUGCAGAAGUCUCACACGAUCAUGUCAUUUCUGGAAACAGCAUGCAUUCAUUUGCAUGAGAGAAAUAGUUGUGAUUAAGCAUGGUUUUUAUCAUCUUUAAAACUCAAUCUUUGACAUAUUAAACUCUUUUCCUGGCUCUUUAACACUAUGCUGUUCCAGAAAGCAGGUAACAGGUGAAUUCAAAAACCAAGCAAUGGGUUUCUGUCUUAGUUAGUGGACAGACUUGUUUUUGGUGUUUGUAUAUUUCUUUAUCCAUUAUGCAACAACCACAACUUACAGAUGUUCCAUCUUCCAUCACAGAGUUACAAUUCUUCUGUUUGACUGUAGACAAAAAUGAGCAUGUUUGAUAGUGACAGGGACUUCACAGACGAGGUCAAGAACAUAAAUGGGCAGCGGGCGCACCGACCCUCUGACAGCAGGGGACGACCAGACUCCAUUUGACCCUCCUGACCUGUCAAUUCUGGAAGCGCCUUCCUGUUGUCAAGUGGACACUGCCCAUGAGGUUAUGUCUGUCUGUCUGUCUGUCUGUCUGUCUGUCUGUCUGUCUGUAUUUCAAUAAGGAGGGAUCAUUUGGAAGUGUGAAGUAAUAUCUAUAGAGGUUGGCAACAGAGGAACACUUUGCUGAUUAGCUUGGAUUAAUGUUAAGCAUCAUCAUUAAAAUAGGAACGGAAUAGGAGAGAAAAGAUCUUCCUUAUUGAACAUUUGCCAAAGCUUCACGUCCGUUUCAUUUGGAGGACAGAUUAACGUUAGUCCAAGAUAAAAGAAAACAAUAUGGUGGUGACUCUUUCAGCAUUAUAUGUUACUGUUUUUUGGCCAAACAAACUUAAUCCCAGAUCAGUGUUCCCCAUGUUUUUAAUCUGUCAUUACAAAUUAUGUACGCACAAUGUUAACUUUUUUCUGAUGUAUUGUUCCCACUUAUCAGGCGGUAAUUGGUCACCAAUUAUUUCUGUAAGUGUGGUGGAGUUGUGUAAUCCAUCACAGUGAACAGGAAGUCUGUGUUCAGUUCUGUCAAACCUCCAUUACUGUAAAGUUUAUUGGUAGAUUAAUUUGAAAUGCCAGCGCUCUUUUACAAAACUUAAUGGACAUAUACAUACAAACUUGAUGGAUUAUACAAGUCAACUAAGUCAAGAGUCUGCAAAGUGACUUUUUUACAAAUGAAUGGAAACCAAUGGAUGCUUGGAAAGAAGGAGCAAUACAUUAAGAAAAGAACACAGCAUUGGUUGCAAGAUUGUCAAUAAUAUCUUAUUCAUGGUGUUUAGUAAAUGGUGUAAAACAUGCAACAUCACAUGCUUGGUACUUUAAAGGGACUGCACAGGCAAGGACUCACUUUAACCUCUGAGGAAUGUUACUGGA